rnacentral:rRNA from 1 species
UACGGAGGGUGCGAGCGUUGUCCGGAAUCACUGGGCGUAAAGGGCGCGUAGGCGGCCUGAUAAGUAGGGGGUGAAAUCCUGCGGCUUAACCGCAGGGCUGCCUUCUAGACUGUCAGGCUAGAGCACAGUAGAGGCAGGUGGAAUUCCCGGUGUAGCGGUGGAAUGCGCAGAUAUCAGGAGGAACACCGAUGGCGAAGGCAGAUCUCUGGGCCGUAACUGACGCUGAGGAGCGAAAGCGUGGGGAGCGAACAGG